rnacentral:rRNA from 1 species
UACAGAGGGUGCGAGCGUUGUUCGGAAUUAUUGGGCGUAAAGGGCGCGUAGGCGGUGCGGUAAGUCACCUGUGAAAUCUCCUGGCUCAACUGGGAGCUUGCAGGCGAAACUGCCGUGCUGGAGUGUGGGAGAGGUGCGUGGAAUUCCCAGUGUAGCGGUGAAAUGCGUAGAGAUUGGGAGGAACACCAGUGGCGAAGGCGACUUUCUGGACUGUAACUGACGCUGAUGCUCGAGAGCGUGGGGAGCAAACAGG